rnacentral:rRNA from 1 species
AUGAUGGCGCGGGUGGACCGGCUGGACCUGGUGGUGGGGUACUUGGAGGAGCUGCGCCACAGCGGCAGCGGCAGGUCUUCCACCACCGCCACAAGCACCUUGUCAUCGUCGUCCCCGACCACGCCUCGGGCUCGACCUCACGGGUGCCGGUCGGCGGAGGAGCUGCUGCGGGAGACCAAGGCCAAGGGGAGCCUGGUCGAGCGCAUCGCGUUCCUGGAGGACCGGGUGCUCCGGAUGGAGGAGGAGCGCAUGGAGAUGUCGUCGAGCAUGGAGACGGCGGAGUCGGCGAGGAGGACGAUGAGGAUGAUGAUGAACGGCAGCGGCGGGGCUGGGGCUGAACCGGGGAGUCCCGGGAGCGGGAAGAAAGGGAAGAAGGGGCUCAAGAGUUUGGUCAAGUCGUGCGUCCGAGCAGGCGCCAAGCUCAAGACCAAGGAAUAG